rnacentral:rRNA from 2 species
ACAUGCAGUCGAGCGGACCGACGGGAGCUUGCUCCCUUAGGUCAGCGGCGGACGGGUGAGUAACACGUGGGUAACCUGCCUGUAAGACUGGGAUAACUCCGGGAAACCGGGGCUAAUACCGGAUGCUUGAUUGAACCGCAUGGUUCAAUCAUAAAAGGUGGCUUUUAGCUACCACUUACAGAUGGACCCGCGGCGCAUUAGCUAGUUGGUGAGGUAACGGCUCACCAAGGCGACGAUGCGUAGCCGACCUGAGAGGGUGAUCGGCCACACUGGGACUGAGACACGGCCCAGACUCCUACGGGAGGCAGCAGUAGGGAAUCUUCCGCAAUGGACGAAAGUCUGACGGAGCAACGCCGCGUGAGUGAUGAAGGUUUUCGGAUCGUAAAACUCUGUUGUUAGGGAAGAACAAGUACCGUUCGAAUAGGGCGGCACCUUGACGGUACCUAACCAGAAAGCCACGGCUAACUACGUGCCAGCAGCCGCGGUAAUACGUAGGUGGCAAGCGUUGUCCGGAAUUAUUGGGCGUAAAGCGCGCGCAGGCGGUUUCUUAAGUCUGAUGUGAAAGCCCCCGGCUCAACCGGGGAGGGUCAUUGGAAACUGGGGAACUUGAGUGCAGAAGAGGAGAGUGGAAUUCCACGUGUAGCGGUGAAAUGCGUAGAGAUGUGGAGGAACACCAGUGGCGAAGGCGACUCUCUGGUCUGUAACUGACGCUGAGGCGCGAAAAGCGUGGGGGAGCCGAACAGGGAUUAGAUACCCCCGGGUAGUUCCACGCCCGUAAAACGAAUGAGUUGCUAAAGUGUUUAGAAGGGGUUUCCCGCCCCUUUUAAGUGGCUGGCGGCCAAAACGCAAUUAAAGCAACUUCCGUCCUUGGGGGAGUAACGGGUUCGCCAA